rfam:Theobroma cacao cultivar Matina 1-6 chromosome 2, whole genome shotgun sequence.
AGACCAUGAUGAGGACAACACUGAAGUAAUUCUUUGUAUCUUUCCCAAGCUUCGUACAACAAUUCAAAAUCUUGCUGCAUAAAUGAUGUAAUAUUAUUCCUCAUUUC